GGCCUGGGAGAAGACCAUCACUGCUGACCAUGGGGACAAGGAUUAACCAGAAGCCCGGGGGAAAGAUGCUCCAGGGUGCUCCAGACAGAAGAACAACCUAAAGCUGCACAGUUCAGCUUUCUGUGUGCAAGGCAUGUCGAUGGGAUGGAGCAAUCAGGCACAUAUCCUGCCCUCAGGACACUCGCCAGAUGAGGAAACUGAGGCUCCCUGGGCUUACAGGAUGAAGGCCACAAAGUUUCUGGCUCUUCCUGCUCUGGACUCCAGAAC